UGGGGAAUAUUGCGCAAUGGGCGAAAGCCUGACGCAGCAACACCGCGUGAGGGAUGACGGCCUUCGGGUUGUAAACCUCUUUCAGCUCCGACGAAGCGAAAGUGACGGUAGGAGCAGAAGAAGCACCGGCUAACUACGUGCCAGCAGCCGCGGUAAUACGUAGGGUGCAAGCGUUGUCCGGAAUUAUUGGGCGUAAAGAGCUCGUAGGCGGUCCGUUGCGUCUGCCGUGAAAACCCGGAGCUCAACUCCGGGCCUGCGGUGGAUACGGGCGGACUAGAGUCCGGUAGGGGAGACUGGAAUUCCUGGUGUAGCGGUGGAAUGCGCAGAUAUCAGGAGGAACACCGGUGGCGAAGGCGGGUCUCUGGGCCGGAACUGACGCUGAGGAGCGAAAGCGUGGGGAGCGACAGGAUGAGAUACCCUGGUAGUCCACGCCGUAAACGGUGGGCGCUAGGUGUGGGAUCGUUUCCACGAUCUCCGUGCCGU
rnacentral:rRNA from 1 species